AGGUUAAGCCAAUAAGAGCGCAGGGUGGAUGCCUUGGCACUAAGAGCCGAUGAAAGACGUGAUAAGCUGCGAAAAGCCGCGGGGAGGAGCAUAUAUCCCAUGAUCCGCGGAUCUCUGAAUGUGGAAACACACAUGAGCAACCCUCAUGUAUCCGUACCCCAAUCCAUAAGGUGCGGAGGGGAACCCGGUGAACUGAAACAUCUAAGUAGCCGGAGGAAAAGAAAGAAACAUCGAUACCGGGAGUAGCGGCGAGCGAAACCGGAGGAGCCCAAACCGCUGUGCGUGCAUGGCGGGGUUCGGACUGCGGAAUUGGAACGAGUCAUAGUCAAACGGUUUUGGGAAAGCCGGCCGGAGAGGGUGAAAGCCCCGUAGGCGAAAUGACGAGGGACAUGGCAGGAUCCAGAGUACACCGGGACACGAGAAACCCUGGUGGAAUGAGCGGGGACCACCCCGUAAGGCUAAAUACUCCUUAGUGACCGAUAGCGCAUAGUACUGUGAAGGAACGGUGAAAAGGACCCCGGGAGGGGAGUGAAAAAGAACCUGAAACCCUGUGUUUACAAGCAGUGGGAGGGCGAAAGCCCGACUGCGUACUUUUUGUAGAACGGUCCGGCGAGUUGCGGUGUCCGGCAAGGUUAAGCGCCAAAGGCGCGGAGCCGGAGCGAGAGCGAGUCUGAAAAGGGCGAAAGUCAGACACUGCAGACCCGAAACCGGGUGAUCUACCCAUGGCCAGGAUGAAGCUGCCGUAAGAGGCAGUGGAGGUCCGAAGCCACAUCCGUUGAAAAGGGUGGGCAUGAGCUGUGGGUAGGGGAGAAAUUCCAAUCGAACCCGGAGAUAGCUGGUUCUCCUCGAAAUAGCUUUAGGGCUAGCCUCAUGGCAGACUUAUGGAGGUAGAGCACUGAACAUCCUAGGGAGCGUCAAAGCUUACCGAAGAUCAUCAAACUGCGAAUGCCAUCAAGCCGAUCCAUGGGAGUCAGACCGCACGAGAUAAGUUGGGUGGUCAAAAGGGAAAGAGCCCAGACCUCCGGCUAAGGUCCCAAAGUGUGUGUUAAGUGGUAAAGGAUGUGGGAUUUCGAAGACAACCAGGACGUUGGCUCAGAAGCAGCCAUACAUUGAAAGAGUGCGUAACAGCUCACUGGUCGAGAGGUCCUGCGCCGAAAAUUUCCGGGGCUGAAACACACCACCGAAGCUGAGGAACCGCGAAAGCGGCUGGUAGAGGAGCAUUGGAUGCUUAAAGAAGCGGUACCGGCAAGGAGCCGUGGAGAGCAUCGAAGAGAGAAUGCCGGAAUGAGUAGCGAGAGAUAGGUGAGAAUCCUAUCGGCCGAAUAUCCAAGGUUUCCAGAGUAAAGCUGAUCUGCUCUGGGGAAGUCGGGACCUAAGGCGAGGUCGAAAGACGUAGCCGAUGGACAGCAGGCAGAGAUUCCUGCACUGGCGGAUAUCAGAACUGCGGGGACGCAGGGCGGAAGGAUGAGCGCGGAAUGAAGAGACGCGUACAAGCAGAAGAGG
rnacentral:rRNA from 1 species